rnacentral:rRNA from 1 species
AGUCGAGGGGUAACAGAGGUAGCUUGCUACUUGCUGACGACCGGCGCACGGGUGCGUAACGCGUAUACAAUCUACCUUAUACUGGGGAAUAGCCUUUGGAAACGAAGAUUAAUGCCCCAUAGUAUUAUUAAUUGGCAUCGAUUAGUAAUUAAAACUCCGGUGGUAUAAGAUGAGUAUGCGUUCUAUUAGUUAGUUGGUAAGGUAACGGCUUACCAAGACAUCGAUAGAUAGGGGUCCUGAGAGGGAGAUCCCCCACACUGGUACUGAGACACGGACCAGACUCCUACGGGAGGCAGCAGUGAGGAAUAUUGGACAAUGGAGGCAACUCUGAUCCAGCCAUGCCGCGUGCAGGAAGACUGCCCUAUGGGUUGUAAACUGCUUUUAUAUGGGAAGAAUAAGGGGUACGUGUACUCCGAUGACGGUACCAUAAGAAUAAGCACCGGCUAACUCCGUGCCAGCAGCCGCGGUAAUACGGAGGGUGCAAGCGUUAUCCGGAAUCAUUGGGUUUAAAGGGUCCGUAGGCGGGCAUAUAAGUCAGUGGUGAAAUGCUGUGGCUCAACCAUAGCACUGCCAUUGAUACUGUAUGUCUUGAAUUAUUGUGAAGUGGUUAGAAUAUGUAGUGUAGCGGUGAAAUGCUUAGAUAUUACAUAGAAUACCGAUUGCGAAGGCAGAUCACUAACAAUAUAUUGACGCUGAUGGACGAAAGCGUAGGUAGCGAACAGGAUUAGAUACCCUGGUAGUCUACGCCGUAAACGAUGGAUACUAGUUGUUUGGCUUUCGGGCUGAGUGACUAAGCGAAAGUGA